GAAUGGGGGCAUGCCUAUGCAUGCAAGUCGAGCGCAUGACGAGGAGCUUGCUCCUCUGAUUGAGCGGCGGACGGGUGAGUAACACGUGGGCAACCUGCCCUGUAGACGGGGAUAACUUCGGGAAACCGGAGCUAAUACCGGAUAAUCCUCUUCCCCACAUGGGGAAGAGUUGAAAGGCGCUUUCGCGUCACUACAGGAUGGGCCCGCGGUGCAUUAGCUAGUUGGUGGGGUAACGGCCUACCAAGGCGACGAUGCAUAGCCGACCUGAGAGGGUGAUCGGCCACAUUGGGACUGAGACACGGCCCAAACUCCUACGGGAGGCAGCAGUAGGGAAUCUUCCACAAUGGACGAAAGUCUGAUGGAGCAACGCCGCGUGAGUGAUGAAGGUUUUCGGAUCGUAAAACUCUGUUGUAAGGGAAGAACCAGUACGUCAGGCAAUGGACGUACCUUGACGGUACCUUAUUAGAAAGCCACGGCUAACUACGUGCCAGCAGCCGCGGUAAUACGUAGGUGGCAAGCGUUGUCCGGAAUUAUUGGGCGUAAAGCGCGCGCAGGUGGUUUCUUAAGUCUGAUGUGAAAGCCCACGGCUUAACCGUGGAGGGUCAUUGGAAACUGGGAGACUUGAGUGCAGAAGAGGAAAGUGGAAUUCCAAGUGUAGCGGUGAAAUGCGUAGAGAUUUGGAGGAACACCAGUGGCGAAGGCGACUUUCUGGUCUGCAACUGACGCUGAGGCGCGAAAGCAUGGGGAGCAAACAGGAUUAGAUACCCUGGUAGUCCAUGCCGUAAACGAUGAGUGCUAAGUGUUAGGGGUUUCCGCCCCUUAGUGCUGCAGCUAACGCAUUAAGCACUCCGCCUGGGGAGUACGACCGCAAGGUUGAAACUCAAAGGAAUUGACGGGGGCCCGCACAAGCGGUGGAGCAUGUGGUUUAAUUCGAAGCAACGCGAAGAACCUUACCAGGUCUGACAUCCCGAUGACCGCUCUAGAAGAUAGAGUUUUCCUUCGGGACAUGGUGACAGGUGGUGCAUCCGUCGUCAGCUCGUGUCGUGAGAAUGGUGGGUAGUUCCCGCACGAGCGCCACCCGUAUCUAGUGCAUCAUUAGUGGCACUCUAGGUGACUGCGUGAUAACCGGAAGAAGGUGGGAUGACGUCAAAUCUCAUGCUUAGACCUGGGUCUCACGACGGUCCGUCAAUUGGAGACGGGGUCCAAAGAGGUGCGCU
rnacentral:rRNA from 1 species